UACGAAGGGAGCUAGCGUUACUCGGAAUCACUGGGCGUAAAGCGUGCGUAGGCGGUUUUGUAAGUCAGAAGUGAAAGCCUGGGGCUCAACCUCAGAAUUGCUUUUGAAACUGCAUAACUAGAGUGUCAUAGGGGAUAGCGGAAUUCCUAGUGUAGAGGUGAAAUUCGUAGAUAUUAGGAGGAACACCGGUGGCGAAGGCGGCUAUCUGGGUGAACACUGACGCUGUUGCACGAAAGCGUGGGGAGCAAACGAGGAU
rnacentral:rRNA from 1 species